ACGAGAAAGUUCCCUUCGGGGGAUGAGUAAAGUGGCGCACGGGUGAGUAACACGUGGGUAAUCUACCCUCGAGUCUGGGAUAACCCGCCGAAAGGCGAGCUAAUACCGGAUAAGACCACGCAACACAGGUUGCGCGGUUAAAGGCGGGGACCCUUCGGGGCCUGUCUCUUGAGGAUGAGCCCGCGGCCCAUCAGCUUGUUGGUAGGGUAACGGCCUACCAAGGCUAAGACGGGUAGCUGGACUGAGAGGUCUACCAGCCACACUGGCACUGGAACACGGGCCAGACUCCUACGGGAGGCAGCAGUGGGGAAUAUUGCGCAAUGGGCGAAAGCCUGACGCAGCGACGCCGCGUGAGGGAAGAAGGCCUUCGGGUCGUAAACCUCUGUCGAGGGGGAAGAAACGCUUGGUGGCUAAUACCCAUCAGGUUUGACGGUACCCCUUAAGGAAGCAUCGGCUAACUACGUGCCAGCAGCCGCGGUAAUACGUAGGAUGCAAGCGUUGCUCGGAAUCAUUGGGCGUAAAGCGCGCGUAGGUGGUUUGUCAAGUCAUAGGUGAAAUCCCACGGCUUAACCGUGGAAUUGCCUAUGAUACUGUCAGACUUGAGUGCUGGAGAGGGAAGCGGAAUUCCUGGUGUAGCGGUGAAAUGCGUAGAUAUCAGGAGGAACACCGG
rnacentral:rRNA from 1 species